rnacentral:rRNA from 1 species
UACGGGGGGAGCAAGCGUUGUUCGGAUUUACUGGGCGUAAAGGGCGCGUAGGCGGCCUGUGCAAGUCAGUUGUGAAAUCUCCGGGCUUAACUCGGAACGGUCAACUGAUACUGCUCGGCUAGAGUGCGGAAGGGGCAACUGGAAUUCUUGGUGUAGCGGUGAAAUUCGUAGAUAUCGGGAGGAACACCAGUGGCGAAGGCGGCGAUCUGGGUUGAUACUGACGCUGAUGUGCGAAAGCGUGGGGAGCAAACAGG